rnacentral:lncRNA from 1 species
AAUCGUUCGGGGUUGGUGACAUCUUUGAGGGCAAUGUUGGGCAAAACAACGCUUGGGACUUCUUGGUUAUUCACCAUAAGAUAAUACCUUCCGCCUACCCUAUUUUUGAUUAAGCGGCUGGAGCGACAAUAGCUUGGGACUUCUUUUAUUAUUUUUUUGUUUGUUUUGUUUUGUUUAUUAUAUUUGCUAUUGUUAUAUUUUUGAAUUGCCAUGUAUGCUACUCUACUACACACCAU